rnacentral:antisense_RNA from 1 species
CUUCAGGGAGCCGAGCCAGAGCGGACGGUCCUCGGCGCGGUCCUGUCCGUAGGCGGCCAGGAGUGCCUGGGCCUC